CCUACGGGGGGCUGCAGUCGAGAAUCUUCCGCAAUGGGCGCAAGCCUGACGGAGCGACGCCGCGUGCGGGACGAAGGCCUUCGGGUUGUAAACCGCUGUCAGGGGGGACCAAACAAUGAGGUAUCCCCAGAGGAAGCUCGGGCUAAGUUCGUGCCAGCAGCCGCGGUAAGACGAACCGAGCGAACGUUGUUCGGAAUCACUGGGCUUAAAGGGCGCGUAGGCGGCCUGCAUAGUCGGGGGUGAAAUCUUUCGGCUUAACCGGAAAAGUGCCUUCGAUACUAGCAGGCUCGAGGGAGGUAGGGGCAGAUGGAACUUCCAGUGGAGCGGUGAAAUGCGUUGAUAUUGGAAGGAACGCCGGUGGCGAAAGCGAUCUGCUGGACCUCUUCUGACGCUGAGGCGCGAAAGCUAGGGUAGCAAACGGGAUUAGAUACCCUAGUAGU
rnacentral:rRNA from 1 species